rnacentral:snRNA from 1 species
AUCGCUUCUCGGCCUUUUGGCUAAGAUCAAGUGUAAAUAGUUGUUAAAUUUUUUAGGGAAUAACAAGAAAAAAGUCUGUACGUGUUCAGUACAGACUAAACAUUUUUUCUGGACAUUUACGAUCCUAGGUUGGUUGAAUCCAU